CCCUUAGACGUUCUGGGCCGCACGCGUGCUACACUGACGGAGCCAGCGAGUAUAAACCUUGGCCGAGAGGUCUGGGAAAUCUUGUGAAACUCCGUCGUGCUGGGGAUAGAGCAUUGUAAUUAUUGCUCUUCAACGAGGAAUUCCUAGUAAGCGCAAGUCAUCAGCUUGCGUUGAUUACGUCCCUGCCCUUUGUACACACCGCCCGUCGCUACUACCGAUUGAAUGGCUUAGUGAGGCUUCCGGAUUGGUUUAGAGAAGGGGGCAACUCCAUCUUGGAACCGAGAAGCUAGUCAAACUUGGUCAUUUAGAGGAAGUAAAAGUCGUAACA
rnacentral:rRNA from 1 species